UGAAGAGAGCAUUAUACCGUGAAACUGCGAAUGGCUCAUUAAAUCAGUUAUCGUUUAUUUGAUGGUACCUUUACUACUUGGAUAACCGUGGUAAUUCUAGAGCUAAUACAUGCUAAAAACCCCAACUUCGGGAGGGGUGUAUUUAUUAGAUACAAAACCAAUGCCCUUUGGGGCUCUUUGGUGAUUCAUAAUAACUUCUCAGAUCGCAUGGCCUUGAGCCGGCGACGGUUCAUUCAAAUUUCUGCCCUAUCAACUUUCGAUGGUUCGGUAUUGGCCAACCAUGGUGGCAACGGGUAACAGGUUUUAAGCGAAAGAUUCUGGAGAAGGAGCCUGAGAAACGGCUCCUACAUCCAAGGAAGGCAGCAGGCGCGCAAAUUACCCAAUGCCGACACGGCGAGAGUAGUGACAAUACAUACUGAUACAGGGCUCUUUUGGGUCUUGUAAUUGGAAUGAGUACAAUUUAAACCUCUUAACGAGGAACAAUUGGAGGGCAAGUCUGGUGGUAGAUGUUUACAUCCUAUCUGCUGACGCCAGAAAUAGUCGGACAUUCUCAAUAAGAGUUAAGCCGGCUGGUCGAGUACCUGUUAAUUGAUGGGAAGGUACCGGCGAGACAACCUGGAUCGGGAGAGGCUAAGGUGCAGAUGCGCUACGCUGAUCCUGAGCAGAGCUUCCGUGGAGCGAUCCGUGGAUGGCCUGUGUAGAGCGCGCAAAGGUGUCGGCCAGCUCACGUAGUUGGCUUAAGGGACGUGCCAUUCCCAUCUGAAAGGGUGGUUGCCAGCAUGAGCGCCUAUCACGCAAGGGCUGGCAGAUUCAAAACACUUAAAAUCGCAAGAGUCUUAAGAAAAGCAUCAUGCGGGUGGAUGGGGAACUGCACCCCAGGCUCUUUUCAGUGUGUUGAAAAGAAGUUAUUGCUAUAAGGCCAGCAGCCGCGUUAAUUCCAGCUCCAAUAGCGUAUAUUAAAAUUGUUGCAGUAAAAAGUAUUGUAGUUGAACCUUUGGCCUGGCGGGCAGGUCCGCCUCACCGCGUGCACUGGUCCGUCUGGGCUUUCUUUUAUGGAGAACCGCAUGCCCUUCAUUGGUGGUGGGCUGGGGAACCAGGACUUUUACUUUGAAAAAAUUAGAGUGUUCAAAGCAGGCCUUUGCUAGAAUACGUUAGCAUGGAAUAAUAGAAUAGGACGGCAGUUCUAUUUUGUUGGUUUCUAGAACCGCCGUAAUGAUUAAUAGGGACAGUGCGGGGGCAUCAGUAUUCAAUAGUCAGAGGUGAAAUUCUUGGAUUUAUUGAAGACUAACUGCUGGGAAAGCAUUUGCCAAGGAUGUUUUCAUUAAUCAGUGAACGAAAGUUAGGGGAUCGAAGACGAUCAGAUACCGUCGUAGUCUUAACCAUAAACUAUGCCGACUAGGGAUCGGGCGUGUUUCUAUUUUGACUCGCUCGGCACCUUAC
rnacentral:rRNA from 1 species